AGGGUUUGAUCCUGGCUCAGGACGAACGCUGGCGGCGUGCUUAACACAUGCAAGUCGAACGGAAAGGCCCUGCUUGCAGGGUACUCGAGUGGCGAACGGGUGAGUAACACGUGGGUGAUCUGCCCUGCACUUCGGGAUAAGCCUGGGAAACUGGGUCUAAUACCGGAUAGGACCGCACUGUGAGGGUGUGGUGGAAAGUUUUUUCGGUGUGGGAUGGGCCCGCGGCCUAUCAGCUUGUUGGUGGGGUAAUGGCCUACCAAGGCGGCGACGGGUAGCCGGCCUGAGAGGGUGGACGGCCACAUUGGGACUGAGACACGGCCCAGACUCCUACGGGAGGCAGCAGUGGGGAAUAUUGCACAAUGGGCGGAAGCCUGAUGCAGCAACGCCGCGUGCGGGAUGACGGCCUUCGGGUUGUAAACCGCUUUCGCCUGUGACGAAGCGUGAGUGACGGUAAUGGGUAAAGAAGCACCGGCUAACUACGUGCCAGCAGCCGCGGUGAUACGUAGGGUGCGAGCGUUGUCCGGAUUUAUUGGGCGUAAAGGGCUCGUAGGUGGUUGAUCGCGUCGGAAGUGUAAUCUUGGGGCUUAACCCUGAGCGUGCUUUCGAUACGGGUUGACUUGAGGAAGGUAGGGGAGAAUGGAAUUCCUGGUGGAGCGGUGGAAUGCGCAGAUAUCAGGAGGAACACCAGUGGCGAAGGCGGUUCUCUGGGCCUUUCCUGACGCUGAGGAGCGAAAGCGUGGGGAGCGAACAGGCUUAGAUACCCUGGUAGUCCACGCUGUAAACGGUGGGUACUAGGUGUGGGGUCCAUUCCACGGGUUCCGUGCCGUAGCUAACGCUUUAAGUACCCCGCCUGGGGAGUACGGCCGCAAGGCUAAAACUCAAAGGAAUUGACGGGGCCCCGCACAAGCGGCGGAGCAUGCGGAUUAAUUCGAUGCAACGCGUAGAACCUUACCUGGGUUUGACAUGGAUCGGGAGUGCUCAGAGAUGGGUGUGCCUCUUUUGGGGUCGGUUCACAGGUGGUGCAUGGCUGUCGUCAGCUCGUGUCGUGAGAUGUUGGGUUAAGUCCCGCAAC
rnacentral:rRNA from 1 species